rnacentral:sRNA from 1 species
AUGGUUUUCUCAUGAGGAAGAUUUUGAAACUUUAGCAAAUAGUAAUGAAGAUGAUGAAAAUCAUGGGUUGGAACUUGGAGAUAAUCAUAUAUAUGAAAGUUGGCCAACUCUCUCCAUAUGAUUGACACAUCAUCACUUUAGCAUUUGCCAUGUGUCUAUUAAAUAAUUAAUGUAAGCUUUUCAACUUCUAAUUUAUAGGUUAAU